CUCAGAAAUCGGCCUGCCUCUGCCUCCUGAGUGCUGGGAUUAAAGGCAUGCACCACAAUGCCCGGCUGCAUUCGUUCAUCUCUAAACCAGGAUACUCUAACUCCUUCAGACCUGAGGAUAUUCAAACCCAAGAGGGAAGCUGUAACAAGCACCAAGAAUUUCCUCUCAACUCCUCCAACCAUAGGGUAACUAAAAUCAGGAAGGAGUCUCGAGCACUGCCUUCAUCUUACCUUCAUCUGUCUCUUUGACAUUGGCUCCAACCCUUUCUAGACUCUGAAGGCAUUUUAAGCUCUCAAGGAGUAUCUGUCUACCUAACCAGCUUCAUUCCACAUCAAGGCUGAAGGCAUGGAGAUAAGUCUCUGUCCUGAACCUCUCCUCUUGAGUCACCUUGCAUUCCAGGAGCAACAGGGCUGGUUGAUAAAUUAUCUCCGGUGACAAGGGACGAAAACCAUCUCCAAGAAAUGGUGAGCCAGCAGGACAUCUCGUCCCUAAGAUGACAAUAAUUACCUAUGUUGAAGAGGCUACUCCCUGGAACAGAUCAUCUUGUAGGAACCAGAUUGGUCUCCUCAAGUUAAUGCCAGAUUGGCAAUUGCUAUGACCUUUUGGGACCGGAACAGUGACAGAGACGGACAGGACCAUCCUUUGACCAAGACCGCUUAGUAAUGAUAGCCUCUUGCCCUCUUCAGCAAUUUUUCCCCAGUUAAAAUCUAGCUUAUGUGUCAGUGCCCCAAAAUGGAACCUGAACUCCUUCAAUUGUUUGUCUUCCCUGUGUAUUGAUUACACUUCCUUUCUCUGCUUUUCACUACGAAUCUUACAAAGAAACUUAAAUGCAAAAUAUCGAUUAUUUUUGUCAUCCCCCCCCCCCCCGCCAUUUUUGUAAAACCCAGUGACAGGACUGGGUAUCUGUUGGCAGAGUGCUUGCUUGCCUAGCAUACACAAAGUCCUGAGGUCAAUCCCUGGGUUCAGGCAUCAGCACUGCCUGUACCAGAUUCACACCAGUAACCAUAGCACUCAAGAGGUCGAAGCAGGAGGCUCGGGAGUUCAAGGCCGUCCUCUAGUAUAUCAUACAUUUGAGGCUAGCAUGGGCUAGAGAUCCUGUCUCAAAAACAAACAAAAUUCAGUGACAAAGGCCACGGAAGCUGCUUAACUUGGUUGAAAAGAGUGUUAUAAACACUGUGGUAUAUAGACUGCUUAGGUAGAAUAAUGUCAUCCUGACCCCGAGAGUCAAGCCAGGGAGAUUGGGGGAAAUUUGGACACUAUGGCCUUGAAUGUGGGGGAAACAUUUCUUUUUUUUCUUUUUAAUUCAAAAACAAGCCAGCAGGUUGCAUAACAUAGUAAUGGUGUUCUGCCUUCUUGGGAGCUGAAAGGAGACCACAGUCACAUGACACAACCAUCAAAAGACGACAAUGUUUCAGCAGGAAGGACGUGGGCUUAGCAGGUGUGGAGCUUGUUUUGUGAAGCAAGCUUAACCUACCAUAGCACUGCUACCCUUUGCUCCUGGCUGCAAGGGCAUGGGGGUGCGGGGGGGGGGGACUGCUCCCCAUGCUCCACUAAGUAAGCUUUGGGACCCAGUAUGGCUUUCUUGCCUGCCAGAGGAGCUUCCUAUAGGGAUCCUUUCUUGCAGUUUGUCUACCCCGAACAUGUGUUUUUAGUGUCCAGGUUAGAGCACGUGUGUGCCACCCAGGACCUUGAUAGCCCUUGGAGGACCUUUCUGCCCUUGACAGAGAAUGGGAAAAUUCUUAAUUAUUGCUUGUCCAGGGUCAAUUCCUGUGAGAAAUUUUUAUCCCUUCAUCUGCUACACCUGCUUAAUGAAUUCCCAAAUUCCGUCUUAAAAUGGAAGAUGCUAGGUUUCAGAACGCUGGGGCUUCCAGUGUGUGUUCCUGGGGCCACUCCCAAACUCUGUAACAUCUAUUUUAAUUCCUGUUAAUUCAUUACUAUAACCACUAGUUGACCGCAUAGUACAACGGUAAUAACUAUUAACUAUUAGUAAUAGUAUUAACUAUUGUUUCUAGUUGAGAAAAACCUUCGUUUGAUAUGGCCUUCUCUAAUACAAACUGGUCUCCCUCAUCUGCAAAUUAUAGUUACAGAAACAGGUCUCAUGUUGCCCAGGCUAGCCUCCAUCUCUGGAUGUGUGGAAGGAUGAUCUUAAAUUUCAGAUCCUCCCACUUCUACCUCUCGAGUGUUGGAGUUACAGCCAUGUACUGCCAUAGUUGGUUACACAGUGAUGGGGAAUCAAACCAGAGCCUGAUGCACGCUGGAUAUGCACUCUACAGCCAAGGUGAAGUUAAAAUGAAGCACUUAGGGUAGAUCCUAGUCCAGGGCCUUGGGAAUCCAGACAAACACAAAAGGGUGAAGACACAGAAAUCAGACAAGUAAGUACAAGGCAAGGAGAAAGUUCUGGAACAGAUCAUCACUCUCAAGCCUCAGACGUGCACAGACUCUCAGCUUUCCAGCAUCUAUCACCCCCAAAAUGGGAAACUUCUGCCCUUGGCUGCACUUUGUUGCAACAGACCUGGCAGAAGUCCAAACAAGACAAAAAGCUGAUUCUGCAGCCUACCCCUGCCUGCCAGCUGAUCGGCCUUGUUCAAGCUGGAGAACCUCUGGAGAGUCCAGCUCUGUAUGGGGUUCUUUCUUCCGAGCAAACCCUUAAGCUGUGGGAGGGCUGGAUCUGUGUGAUCUGACCUGUACCUGUCCCGGGCUUCCUUGCAGCUCCCCUGAGACAGCUUUUCCCUGUGAAGCUAGCCAGCAACUCCCAUCAGUAGCAGGCAAGAAUCCCAGGACUCACUCGACGAACCAGCCUCGUCUGGCUGGAUUCUUGAAGAACAUAUGGAGUCACCCUAUUCCCCUAUAGCAGCUUCAACUCUCAGGUUCUCUUUCUUGUAGCCCAUCUCCUGGGUCCUCGGUGGUCCCUGGGGGUCCCCGGCAAGAGGCAGGUUGUUUAGGCCAGCCAGAUACCACUUAAAGAGACCCAAUUCAAAACAUAACCGUGUGCGACUCAACUUACGGUCAGGCUCUGAAUCUACAAGAAUUUCAUAAACAAGUAACAUUUAAAAAAAUGGUUAUCGAUGAAGGAAAAAAAGAACCUGAAGAAAUCAGAUGAUGUGAGGGAGGUUUAGGCAAGACCUUUCAGGUACAGUGUGUUCUAAAAUUUGACUUUUGAAUUGUAGAAAUAAAUGACCUAUUAAAAUAAAAUUUUAAUUUAAAAUGUGCUCUCUACUUAAGAGGGUACCCGAGUGUGUGUGUGUGUGUGUGUGUGUGUGUGUGUGUGUGUUUUUGCAUUGGAAACACACCCAGUGUAAUUUGUAAAAUAAAUACAUAAUAAAUAGGUUAAAUGUUUAUUUUGACUUAUGUUUUCAAAUGCCAGUUGUUUAAUUUACCAUGAAGGAUUGCUGGCAGACCCAUCAUCACUGGUACCGAAUACGGCAUUCAGACCUUGACCUAGGCUGGCCUUCCCAGGAAACCAGCUCUGUGGCCUUGCCCUCUUCACUCUUCCCAUCAAUACCACAGGCUGACUUCUCCUGUUGACAGGCGCAUGGUCAACACACACACACACACACACACACACACACACACACACACACACACACACAGAGGUUUCCAUUGCACAUGCACAGUGGGAGGUCAUUGGCUAAGCGGUUUCAAAACACACAGCCUAAGUCGUGGCAAGAUCCAACCUUAAGAAUGCGUUUAUUUGAUUCCAUGUCACUGUACCAUAUACUUGGGCUACUCUAAAGAGAGACAUAGGUCCCCUUUCCCCAAGCACUUUACUUGGAGAAGUUCAGGGCCAGAAAGGCUGCUGUCUUCUUCCUCAGUCCUAGGGCAGAAACUUCCAUGAAAGCUGGUGAGGUGAUGUUCACCCGCAUCUUUUUUAGACCCUCCCCUCCUUACCUUAAACCGCUCCCCCACCCCCCACCCCCCAAGAAGGAAAAGACAAAAGAAUGCUAUAACAUUUUCAAGAACUAAGCAAGCACAACAGCCAGCACUGUCCUGAUUGGUCCCGUCGCCCCUGUUUUCUUGUGCUAUAGAGAAUAUCUAAGGGUUCGUCUCCUCUAAACAGACGCUUGUAAGGAAAGUUUAACACAAUUUAUAGAGCUGUAAAGUUCUUGGUAUGGCCCUCAUUGGAGUGCUUUCUCACAUUCCCAGAAGUAGCCAAUCUACCACGUGGCAGAGCUGCUAGAGGAAGGGAGGGAGCCAGCGGGGCCCUGAGCUGCCCGCAGGAGCAGCAGCAGCAGCAGGGCAGGGCGGCUCCCAGGAGGGCGCAGGCGUGGCGGCCCCUCCCUGCCGCGAGCCCAUGCCCGCCCACUGCCACCGGCGAAAAGGAGGAGAGACCUACAUUUAAAAAGGCAGGAACCUACUAGCUCCAGAGCUCCUACAAUGCCGAAUGAGAAUUCCUAUUUAUGAGGUCAAACGGAGGUCAAGAAUUAUCCAGUCAUCUCUAAAACCCCCUACUUAGGGGGUCAAGCCAGGCUGGCAACCCAUGUUAGCUAAAUAGAACUUGAUCUCCCGAAAGCCUAAAACUGCUUUAUUUUUUCUUUCUUCCUUUCUUUCUUUCACUUUUUUACUGUUUUGCCAGAGAUACGGGUUGGCUUUUUUUUUUUUUUCUGUUACUUCCGGUUUGUGGCUGA